rnacentral:lncRNA from 1 species
UGACAUCUAGUCACAUGGCCACAUCUGGCUACUAGAGAGUGGGAAAUAUGGUCUAACCACGUGCCUGGCCACAUUCCUAUUACUACAGAAGGAGAGAACAGAUUAGAGCAGGCAGCUGGCAGAAUGUGCUACAAAUCAACCUACUCAGUAGCUGUGGUGGGGAAAGGAAGCAUUCCGUCUCCCUAGUGGGUUCACUUUCCUCCACGCUUCCCCCUCCCGCAAGACAGUGCAUUUCCUCUCAAGACCUCCCUGUACCAAUCUCUAUCGCCUGCUCCCAGCUCUCUCCCUACCCUUCAGCCUUCCCUUAGGGGAAUGUAUUUUUUGGUUAAAGCAAACACGUCUAGAAAAUGUUUGAAAUACACUAGAUUAAAAACCUGAUUGUGGUUAUUCCCACCUCCAGAGUAGCUUAGAAAGGACCCCCAUGGUGUCCAUUCCAUUCCGUGAGCAUUUAUAGAGUCUCUCCCGUGUGCUGGGUGCUACCAUGAAUAAAUCAUAAUGCCUGCCCUGCACGGUGACCAGGAGGCUCGUCAGUGUGAGACUUGGUUUGGUGUGAACUCUCCAGCUCAUCAGGCCGACAGUACCAUUGUUCCAUCCCGGAUUGUAGUCUGCCCUCAUUUAGAGUCAGAAGAUCACUGUCUUUGAUGUCCGAGUGUGGAGAAACUGAAUAGCACAGGAAGCAAGCCUGGGGCCCCACCCCUGUCUGGCCCAGAAGCACUGCUCUCCUGAGUCUCUGUCCCUAUCUGGAGCCCUGCCCUAGACUGACCUGCCUUUCUGCAGCUGACACAGGUGAAUUCAUGAAGACCGGGAAGGGCUCCUAAUAUUUCCAUCUGAAGCGGGAUCUCUGAAAUUUCAUAGACAUGCGGUCACGCACACAUCUUUCCAAGGUCUCAGAAGCACAACAGCUAUUCACAGCUUCUCUGAGAACAGACAAGGGGCUUGCAGGUACAUCUGGCACAGGAGGGUCAAGGUGGCCAGCACGCACAUGGAGAUGCACAGCUAACACUGGGGAAAACCAGACUGGAAUAAUUCUCUGAGCCUUCUCCUUACAGGCAGCAGUCAAAGCAAUGGGAGUGAAUGCAAUUGAUGAGAAAAAAUAAUGAAGAACCAGAGAGGAGGAAAGGAAAGGGGGUAAAGGAAUCAUCUUGUAGAAAACUCAUAGCUAAGGGUCAAGAAGGAGAAGGUUAAGCAGGGGAGUGAUCAAGAGGUUGGUUGAUAGCUCUGCUCUGUAGACCUUUAAUUUGUUUGGAACUUGGUGCCACCCUGCCAUCGUAGCUGGCUUGCUAAUGUUCCAAAUAACCUCCAGCUUGCUUGUCUCUACUUUUCUGGACAUUAUGAUGCCCAAGUAACAGAAUACUGUUGCUGAGAAAGAUCUUUUACAAAAUCUCUGUUAUACAAUUAGAGCUUGUUCAUUUUAGGUGUUUUUUUUUUUUUAAAUCAGACCAUAGUUCUGCAUUAUGAGUCUUUCAGAUCUCUGUAAAUAGCAUUUGUCUUCCUGGCUGAGGAUCUCAAAGACAUUCAACAAUAUUUGAAUCUUAGGCUGGAGGACAUUUUCGUAUUCUUCAGUCAGGAAUAGCACACUUCCUUUCAUGAAUAGCAGCUUUUAGGGAUUAUAUCAUGAGGUACAAAUAAAGAGGCCCUCACCUGGUAAAUAAUCCAUCAUGUAUGCAUUGUGUACAGAACACAAUGACUCUUGACCUCAGCCUGGCUUCCUGUGUAGAAGAGUAUGGUAGAACCUGAGCAGAGAGAGGGACGGAGAGAAAGAACCCCAGCUCAGAUCAUACGCAUGAUUCAGACUGCAAAGCAGGACUGCUUCAUGGCAUGUGGCAUCAGUUGCACCAGGCCCAUGCUGGGCUAAUGCCCCACUGGUGAGUUUUGAAAUUCUUAAUACUUUUUGAACAAGAAGCCCUGAAUUUUUAUUUUCACUGGGCACUGCAUAUGAUCUAGCCAGUCCUGCUGCAGAGCUUAACAUAUGUCUGAAUAAUAACAGAAGAGGUCAAUGGGGUCUCUCUUGGAAAUAAUGUUUGAAGUGGCUGUAUAGGUCCUGCAAGCUGGGACUGCAGGAUGUGGUCCCACGGGCUUCCCCGACGAUGGCUAACUGAGGCCAGCCUGGGAGGAGCAAGUGCUCUGCAGACCGUGGCGUUGGGAGCUUUACCUUUGAGGAUAGUGUCUGGGCAACAGCUGCUCACCCUGCAUGGCCAAAGAAUUUAGCUGCAAAAAUCUACUUUGGAACUCCCUAAUUAAACUAAUGAAGUCAGAGCAUUUUAAUCUGUUCUUGGUGCAGCCCUAUGUCUAAUCCCAGAAUAAAUAGAUAAUUGUGACUUUGUGGCAUAUGUGUGCUGAGAAAAAAUAAUGUGUGCUGGUUGUUUUUUGUUUUUCUUUUUCUUUUUCUUUUUUUUUUUUUUUGGUGAUAUGUAAGCCAGACAACAUCUUUAUAUCCUUUUUUAAAAGCUUGGGAAAGGAACUGAUUUUCCUUAGCCAAAUGCAAUGUUUAAAAUGAAGCGAAAUUGUAGUGCUUUUACAAUCAAUCACACUUGUAUUUCACCAUCCUUUACUGACUGCCAUAAACAAGUCAUGCCCAAUAGUUCCUACACUUGAAAGAUCCUAUUUGAUCCUCAAAUUUUUCUUGCUUUAAAGAACACUCAUGAAUAAUAAAUGCUACCACACAGAUGUCGCCUAAAGAGGCUGAGGUUGGGGAAGUGCAGAGCGAGUCUUGUCUCCCUCCUUUAGCCUCGCAUUCUACAAAUGAGGAAACUUCACUGGUUAGCCUUCAAACUAUAUCAUGUUAUUUCCCUGAGACACAUACAUCUUCAUAAUGUUGGAAAAGCCUAUAAAAUCCAAAAGCUAAAGGGUCAUUCUGUUUAAUCCUUCCAUUUUUCUUCCCAUCAAGAGUGUUCUUUGUUAAAUAUUUCUACCUCCUUUUCAAAUAACUGAAAUGAAGUCACUCUUACCCCCUUUGGAGUUUAUUGAUUUAUUUACCAAAUCUUUUACGUAUUAAUCCAACUAUUAGGCUACUUUUUUUUUUUUUUGACGGAGUCUCGCUCUGUCGCCCAGCCUGGAGACUGCACUCAAUCUCUGCUCACUGCAACCUCUGCCCCCCAGGUUCAAGCAAUUCUCAUGCCUCACCCUCCUGAGUAGCUGGGUUACAGGAAUGCACCACCAUACCCGGCAGUUUUUUGUGAUUUUAGUAGAGAUGGGGUUUCACCACGUUGGCCAGGCUGGUCUUGAACUCCUGACCUCAGGUGAUCUGCUGGCCUUGGCCUCUCAAAGUGUUGGGAUUACAGGCGUGAGCCACCACACCCAGCCCUCAGAUUCUUU